AUGCUCGCUUCGGCAGCACAUAUACUAAAAUAGGAACAAUACAGAGAAGAUUAGCAUGGCCCCUGUGCAAGGAUGACAUGCAAAUUCAUGAAGCAUUCCAUAUUUUU
rnacentral:snRNA from 1 species